rnacentral:rRNA from 1 species
AUUGAACGCUGGCGGCAUGCCUUACACAUGCAAGUCGAACGGCAGCACGGGUGCUUGCACCUGGUGGCGAGUGGCGAACGGGUGAGUAAUACAUCGGAACGUACCUUAUCGUGGGGGAUAACGCAGCGAAAGCUGUGCUAAUACCGCAUACGCCCUGAGGGGGAACGCGGGGGAUCGCAAGACCUCGCGCGAUUAGAGCGGCCGAUGCCUGAUUAGCUAGUUGGUGGGGUAAAAGCCCACCAAGGCGACGAUCAGUAGCUGGUCUGAGAGGACGAUCAGCGCCACUGGGACUGAGACACGGCCCAGACUCCUACGGGAGGCAGCAGUGGGGAAUUUUGGACAAUGGGGGCAACCCUGAUCCAGCAAUGCCGCGUGAGUGAAGAAGGCCUUCAGGUUGUAAAGCUCUUUUGUCAGGGAAGAAACACCGGCUCUAACACAGUCCGGGAAUGACGGUACCUGAAGAAUAAGCACCGGCUAACUACGUGCCAGCAGCCGCAGUAA